ensembl:snoRNA SNORD16 Small nucleolar RNA SNORD16
UGCCAUGAUGGUGUAAUUUGCGUCUGACUCUGUGAACAGUGACAGAAUGCCUACUGUCAUAUGCUGUCACAGAUGGCUGAUGAACAUUUGAGUCUGAGCA